rnacentral:misc_RNA from 1 species
UACGAAGACUCCAAGCGUUAUCCGAAUUUAUUGGGCGUAAAGCGUACGUAGGGGGCCUGAUGCGUCUAUCGUUAAAUCUCACUGCCCAACGGUGAGGCCGCGGUGGAUACGGUUAGGCUAGAGGAUGCGAGAGGUCUGUGGAACGCACGGUGUAGGGGUGAUAUCCGUUGAUAUCGUGCGGAACACCAAAGGCGAAGGCAGCAGACUGGCGUAUUCCUGACCUUGAGGUACGAAAGCGUGGGUAGCGAACGGG